UACGUAGGGGGCAAGCGUUGUCCGGAUUUAUUGGGCGUAAAGAGCGUGUAGGCGGCCAUGCAGGUCAGCUGUGAAAACUCGAGGCUCAACCUCGAGACGUCGGUUGAAACCGUAUGGCUAGAGUCCGGAAGAGGAGAGUGGAAUUCCCGGUGUAGCGGUGAAAUGCGCAGAUAUCGGGAAGAACACCCGUGGCGAAGGCGGCUCUCUGGGACGGUACUGACGCUGAGGCGCGAAAGCGUGGGGAGCAAACAGG
rnacentral:rRNA from 1 species